rnacentral:lncRNA from 1 species
GGCAACUAUAUAGUCCAUCAAAUGAAUGCAAAGGUUAUGUUAGUAGUAUCAUAUACUCUUGCUUUAAAAAUCGUUUUAUAAGCAUAGUGGGAGUAUUAUAUACAACUAAAUCAAUCAAAUGGACCAAUAGUUGUAAUAGGACCAAAUAGUUUUAAUAGAGAUUAAAAUGUAUGUUUAUAUGUGAUGAGACCUAAAACCCUCAACCAAACCAAUAUUAAGUUGAAAAGCGUGAGAGUGCUUUGAACACUCUUUCGUGGCCUUCCACCGUGGUAGGCUUC